rnacentral:rRNA from 1 species
UACGUAGGGUGCGAGCGUUGUCCGGAAUUAUUGGGCGUAAAGAGCUCGUAGGCGGCUUGUCGCGUCGGAUGUGAAAGCCCGGGGCUUAACUCCGGGUCUGCAUUCGAUACGGGCAGGCUAGAGUUCGGUAGGGGAGAUCGGAAUUCCUGGUGUAGCGGCGAAAUGCGCAGAUAUCGGGAGGAACACCAGUGGCGAAGGCGGCUCUCUGGGCCUUUCCUGACGCUGAGACGCGAAAGCGUGGGGAGCGAACCGG